UACGUAGGCAGCGAGCGUUGUUCGGAAUUACUGGGCGUAAAGAGUGUGUAGGCGGUGCUCUAAGUUCGGUGUGAAAUCUCCUGGCUCAACUGGGAGGGUGCGCCGGAAACUGGAGUGCUUGAGCGUGGGAGAGGAAAGCGGAAUUCCUGGUGUAGCAGUGAAAUGCGUAGAUAUCAGGAGGAACACCGAUGGCGAAGGCAGGUCUCUGGGCUGACACUGACGCUCAUGCACGAAAGCGUGGGGAGCAAACAGG
rnacentral:rRNA from 1 species